GAAAUCAAUUUUUAAAAAGGACGGGGAAGCAUGAACGGAGGGAAAUCACUUCUUGAAACUCGGUGUUUCUUACAGAGUGACACUGCGCUCCAGGGCCAGAGCGUGUGCUCCAGUAUGUAGCACAGAGGUUACCUACCACAUUCCUCUCCCUGUGCGUGCUGCAUGGACUCCUCCCGUCUCAAGUAUGUGCUGCCAGAAAGAGCAAGUGGAUCAUUUCUCACCGGAGUCUGUGGAUUGAGCCUCCUGAACUUGAAAAUCCCACGGCUGUAUGAGCUGAAAUAAGUAACUUUUAGGCCAUUUCAGGAGUUAGUACUAGGUCAGUUACUACUACAAGUAGUAGUUUAGUGUGGUUAUCAAACCCUGUAUUAAAAAGACUUCAGCAGACAUCUUAAGUUCAAGUAUAAGUUAAGUGUUUACUAGGACAGUAAUCUAAAAUCUCAUAAAAGUCAUCAAGAUCUUCAACUAUUCUGGCUGGUGCUAGCUUUACAUGGCUAUAAUUCUCUAUUAAUGUUCUUAUGUAUACAAAUGUGAAAUAAAAACAUAUUCCCCAAUGUUAUUGUUCUCACCAGGCUAUAUGCAUACACCUUUUGUGCACUGAUAUAUCAGAAAUUCAAAAUAUAAAAAGGUCUGCUACAUCCCAACUAGGAAAUCACUUGUCAAAUUCUACCAGUAGAUUCUAGCUAUAGUUUUAUUGUCUUACCACAAAACUAAGACACAGGCUGAGAAAAGAUUUCUUGUCAGAAGUAUUACUAAUAUACAAAUACAACAAAAAGCAAGGCACACCUUAGUUUAGAUGUUACUUUGUAGCUUGUGGUCUCUUGUCAGCUGUCAGAAAUCUUCACUAGAGAAAAGCCAGAAGGCCAGAGUCAGUCCUGCCAG